rnacentral:rRNA from 1 species
ACAGUUCGGUCCCUAUCUGUUGCGGGCGUAAGAGAUUUGAAGGGAGCUGUCCUUAGUACGAGAGGACCGGGAUGGACGUACCUCUGGUGCACCAGUUGUCCUGCCAAGGGCAUAGCUGGGUAGCUAUGUACGGACGAGAUAAACGCUGAAGGCAUCUAAGCGUGAAACUCCCCCUAAGAUUAGAUCUCUCAUUCGAAAGAAGUAAGGCACGACGUAGACUAUGUCGUUGAUAGGCCGGAGGUGGAAGCACGGUAACGUGUGCAGCUGACCGGUACUAAUAAGCCGAGGGCUUGACCUU